rnacentral:rRNA from 1 species
CCUACGGGUGGCAGCAGUAGGGAAUUUUGGGCAAUGGGGGGAACCCUGACCGAGCAACGCCGCGUGAACGAAGAAGUUCUUCGUCAUGUAAAGUUCUUUUAACAGGGAAGAAAGUGAAAUUUGACGGUACCUGAAGACUAAGCUCCGGCAAACUACGGGCCAGCAGCCGCGGUAGUACGUAGGGAGCGAGCGUUAUCCGGAAUUAUUGGGCGAAAGGGGUGCGUAGAUGGCAUAGUAAGUCUUUGGUAAAAAUGCUGGGCUCAACCCAGUAGGGCAAAAGAUACUGCAAAGCUAGAGUAUGACAGAGGCAAGUGGAACUACAUGUGUAGCGGUAAAAUGCGUAAAUAUAUGUAAGAACACCAGUGGCGAAGGCGGCUUGCUGGGUCGAUACUGACAUUGAGGCACGAAAGCGUGGGGAGCAAACAGGAUUAGAUACCCUGGUAGUC